UCAUUCUUUAGGUAACCUAACCAACUUGGCUACCUUGUAUAUUCAUAACAAUUCACUGUCUGGCUCAAUUCCAAGUGAAAUAGGAAACUUGAGGUCUCUUUCCAAUCUAGGAUUGAGCGGUAAUAAACUUAGUGGCUCAAUCCCUCCAUCUUUGGGCUAUUUGAGCAACUUAGCUACCUUGUACCUUUAUAGCAAUUCACUUUUUGACUCAAUUCCAAGUGAGCUGGGAAACUUGAGGUCUCUUUCCAUGCUUAGUUUGGGGUACAAUAAACUCAGUGGCUCAAUCCCUCAUUCUUUAGGUAACCUAACCAACUUGGCUACCUUGUAUCUUUAUGAAAAUUCACUUUCUGGCUCAAUUCCAAGUGAAUUUGGAAACUUGAGGUCUCUUUCCAUGCUUAAUUUGGGGUACAAUAAACUCAAUGGCAUAAUCCCACAUUCUUUAGGUAACCUAACCAACUUGGCUACCUUGGAUCUUUAUGACAAUUCACUUUCUGGCUCAAUUCCAAGUGAAUUUGGAAACUUGAGGUCUCUUUCCAUGCUUAAUUUGGGGUACAAUAAACUCAAUGGCAUAAUCCCACAUUCUUUAGGUAACCUAACCAACUUGGCUACCUUGGAUCUUUAUGACAAUUCACUUUCUGGCUCAAUUCCAAGUGAAUUUGGAAACUUGAGGUCUCUUUCCAUGCUUAAUUUGGGGUACAAUAAACUCAAUGGCAUAAUCCCACAUUCUUUAGGUAACCUAACCAACUUGGCUACCUUGGAUCUUUAUGACAAUUCACUUUCUGGCUCAAUUCCAAGUGAAUUUGGAAACUUGAGGUCUCUUUCCACGCUUAGUUUGGGGUACAAUAAACUCAG
rnacentral:lncRNA from 1 species